GAACGCAACUUGCGCUCCUUGGUAUUCCAUGGAGCAUGCCUGUUUGAGUGUCACGUAAACCCUCGCCCAAGUGAUGUUACAGUCGUCUUGUGGUGGAUUUGGAUUGUGCCGUAAUUGGCUCAUCCUGAAAUGCAUUAGCUUGCGCUUUUUACAGUGCUCGGCAUGGUGUGAUAAUUAUCUGCGCCGUCGCCUUAGGCCUGUUCUAUAUGUGUAGCUUCUAAUCGUCCCUUGUGGACAACUUACUUAACACUUUGGCCUCAAAUCAGGUAGGAUUACCCGCUGAACUUAAG
rnacentral:misc_RNA from 1 species